rnacentral:rRNA from 1 species
AAAAGAUGGUUCUGCUAUCACUCUUGGAUGGACCUGCGGUGCAUUAGCUAGUUGGUAAGGUAACGGCUUACCAAGGCAAUGAUGCAUAGCCGAGUUGAGAGACUGAUCGGCCACAUUGGGACUGAGACACGGCCCAAACUCCUACGGGAGGCAGCAGUAGGGAAUCUUCCACAAUGGACGCAAGUCUGAUGGAGCAACGCCGCGUGAGUGAAGAAGGGUUUCGGCUCGUAAAGCUCUGUUGGUAGUGAAGAAAGAUAGAGGUAGUAACUGGCCUUUAUUUGACGGUAAUUACCUAGAAAGUCACGGCUAACUACGUGCCAGCAGCCGCGGUAAUACGUAGGUGGCAAGCGUUGUCCGGAUUUAUUGGGCGUAAAGCGAGUGCAGGCGGUUCAAUAAGUCUGAUGUGAAAGCCUUCGGCUCAACCGGAGAAUUGCAUCAGAAACUGUUGAACUUGAGUGCAGAAGAGGAGAGUGGAACUCCAUGUGUAGCGGUGGAAUGCGUAGAUAUAUGGAAGAACACCAGUGGCGAAGGCGGCUCUCUGGUCUGCAACUGACGCUGAGGCUCGAAAGCAUGGGUAGCGAACAGGAUUAGAUACCCUGGUAGUCCAUGCCGUAAACGAUGAGUGCUAAGUGUUGGGAGGUUUCCG